rnacentral:lncRNA from 1 species
GCCGAAUUUAGUCACAUGUCUCCAUCUCAGUGAACAGAAGACUAGAAAACAUCAAGGAGCACAGAAAUAUUUCUACUAGCAGUUUCUGUUAUAGACCUUUGUUUUGGCAUAUAUGCAUUAACUUUGUUCUUUCUAUAUAGGGGAUUGAGCUGAAUAGUGCUCUUGGAAUAAAGAUGAAACAAAGACAGAGCUACUGGAAUAAUUCCUGCCAAGGGAAAUGCUGUGAGAUGACUGGUGCUGAUGCAGAGAUAAUGAAAUACUGAAAGCCCCAAACAACAGAAAUGUCUGUAACUGGUAAUGGGCAUCCUCCUUCAGUUUAUUAACUCCAGCUGUGCAUGUUGACUAUUUUUGUGAAGAGGUGCCACAUGAGACGAAUACUGAAUGGGAAAAACAGGAUCUGAUGUCAGAAACAACUGAUCACAUGAAGCCUGUAUUACAAGACAGGCUGAGGAAACUGACCCUGCUACCCACCACCACCUUGAAGCACAUCCCUGUGUUCAUCAGGAUAAAAUGUGACCAAUGUUUAUGUCACCAGCUUUCCCAGCAAGGUACUUACAUGGACUGA